CCUACGGGAGGCUGCAGUGAGGAAUAUUGGUCAAUGGGAGAGAUCCUGAACCAGCCAAGCCGCGUGCGGGAAGACGGCCCUAUGGGUUGUAAACCUCUUUUGUCGGAGAACCAAACCCGGGAAGUGUCCCGGACUGCGUGUAUCCGACGAAAAAGCAUCGGCUAACUCCGUGCCAGCAGCCGCGGUAAUACGGAGGGCGCGAGCGUUAAUCGGAAUUACUGGGCGUAAAGCGCGCGUAGGCUGUUGUGUAAGUUGGGGGUGAAAUCCCACGGCUCAACCGUGGAACAGCCCUGGAUACUGCGCGACUUGAAGCCGGGAGAGGGUGGCGGAAGUCCAGGAGUAGGAGUGAAAUCCGUAGAUAUCUGGAGGAACAUCAGUGGCGAAGGCGGCCACCUGGACCGGUGUUGACGCUGAGGCGCGAAAGCGUGGGGAGCAAACAGGAUUAGAUACCCGGGUAGUC
rnacentral:rRNA from 1 species